rnacentral:misc_RNA from 1 species
GAUGAAGAACGCAGCGAAAUGCGAUAAGUAGUGUGAAUUGCAGAAUUCAGUGAAUCAUCGAAUCUUUGAACGCACAUUGCGCCCUUUGGUAUUCCAAAGGGCAUGCCUGUUCGAGCGUCAUUUGUACCCUCAAGCUUUGCUUGGUGUUGGGCGUCUUGUCUCUAGCUUUGCUGGAGACUCGCCUUAAAGUAAUUGGCAGCCGGCCUACUGGUUUCGGAGCGCAGCACAAGUCGCACUCUCUAUCAGCAAAGGUCUAGCAUCCAUUAAGCCUUUUUUCAACUUUUGACCUCGGAUCAGGUAGGGAUACCCGCUGAACUUAAGCAUAUCAAAAGCGGAGGA